UACGUAGGGUGCAAGCGUUAAUCGGAAUUACUGGGCGUAAAGCGUGCGCAGGCGGUUAUGUAAGACAGAUGUGAAAUCCCCGGGCUCAACCUGGGAACUGCACUUGUGACUGCACAGCUGGAGUACGGCAGAGGGGGAUGGAAUUCCGCGUGUAGCAGUGAAAUGCGUAGAUAUGCGGAGGAACACCGAUGGCGAAGGCAGUCCCCUGGGCCUGUACUGACGCUCAUGCACGAAAGCGUGGGGAGCAAACAGG
rnacentral:rRNA from 1 species